UUACUUACCAGGCAGGGGAGAAACAAUGAUCAUGAAGGUUGUGCUCCCAGCAUGAGGCUAUCCCAUUGCACUCCGGGUUUGCUGGCGCCUGAGAUGUCCCCAAAUACGGGAUACUCAAGUGUAAAAUUUGUGAUAGUGGGGGACUGCGUUCGCGCUUUCCCCUG